UACGGAGGGGGCGAGCGUUAUUCGGAAUUAUUGGGCGUAAAGGGCGCGUAGGCGGCCCGGUAAGUCAAAGGUGAAAUCCCUCGGCUCAACUGAGGAACUGCCUUUGAAACUGUCGGGCUUGAGGCCGGGAGGGGGUAGCGGAAUUCCCAGUGUAGCGGUGAAAUGCGUAGAUAUUGGGAGGAACACCAGUGGCGAAGGCGGCUCACUGGACCGGUACUGACGCUGAUGCGCGAAAGCGUGGGGAGCAAACGGG
rnacentral:rRNA from 1 species